rnacentral:lncRNA from 1 species
AUUUCCGCUUCCGGUGCGGGCCGCGCGCGAGCGCAGCGGUGGGAGGCGGCGACCAGCCGGUUGAGGCCCCAGGCUUGGCCUCACCACAAUGUGGCACGAGGCUCGGAAGCAUGAGCGGAAGCUUCGAGGCAUGAUGGUCGACUACAAGAAGAGGGCGGAGCGGAGACGGGAGUAUUAUGAAAAGAUCUCUCAGAGGAGCAGUGCCUGUACCAGAUCUACAUUGAUGAGUUGUACGGAGGCCUCCAGAGACCCAGCGAAGAUGAGAAGAAGAAGCUGGCAGAGAAGAAGGCUUCCAUCGGUUAUACCUACGAGGACAGCACGGUGGCCGAGGUAGAGAAGGCGGCAGAAAAGCCAGAGGAGGAGGAGUCAGCGGCCGAGGAGGAGAGCAACUCGGACGAAGAUGAGGUCAUCCCCGACAUCGACGUGGAGGUGGACGUGGAUGAAUUGAACCAGGAGCAGGUGGCAGAUCUCAACAAACAGGCCACGACUUAUGGCAUGGCCGACGGUGACUUCGUCAGGAUGCUCCGGAAAGACAAGGAGGAGGCAGAGGCCAUCAAGCAUGCCAAGGCUCU